rnacentral:lncRNA from 1 species
CUAGCACUUGGCAUACAGAAGGCCCUUAAUCACUUUCUGCUGAGAGAACGAAACCAAUGUUCAUAAGCAAAUUCCUUGCCUUUUUCACCAUGAGUUCCAGAAAAGGUGAAAAGCUGAUCUUCUUUCAAGAUUGGGGAAGGUCUCUACCUCCGAGACACUCUGCUUUAGAGAAGACGGGGACUCCAUUGCUUCACAAUGUGACUAUUUCAGGCAGUAUGACAAGCCAGUGGGGCCCUCUGGCAUUUGGGGUUCCCUCAAAUGACCUAGAGAUCUGGCUAGUUCCAAUUCAGAGGAUGGUUUAGAUGCAGGGCUGGGUUUUCUAGGACUCCUAAAGGGACCCACUUGGGGUCAGUACACGGCUUUGUGGGUCUGUGGGCACUCAAGACCCCAGAGCUCUGGCUCUUGUCUCACCACUGAUCCUGAGACAUUGUGACUGCGACUCCUAGGACUUCUUCGAGUAGAGGUUUAAUUCCACAGUUCUCAAAAAAAAAAAAAGGCAUUUCUUAGAAAUUCAAGUCCAUAUCGGGAAUGAUAACAGGAUGGCAGCCUCCCAAGGUUUGCAAGCUGUGCAGGAUUUAGCUGCAAAAAAAAUAAACAAAUAAAGGAAUCCA